AGAGUUUGAUCUGGCUCAGGAUGAACGCUAGCGACAGGCCUAACACAUGCAAGUCGAGGGGCAGCGAGGAUGUAGCAAUACAUUUGUCGGCGACCGGCGCACGGGUGAGUAACGCGUAUGCAACCUACCCGACACAGGGGGAUAACCCGGAGAAAUCCGGACUAAUACCGCAUAAAACAGGGGUCCCGCAUGGGAAUAUUUGUUAAAGAGCUAUCGGUGUCGGAUGGGCAUGCGUUCCAUUAGCUAGUUGGUGAGGUAACGGCUCACCAAGGCCACGAUGGAUAGGGGUUCUGAGAGGAAGGUCCCCCACAUUGGUACUGAGACACGGACCAAACUCCUACGGGAGGCAGCAGUGAGGAAUAUUGGUCAAUGGGCGGAAGCCUGAACCAGCCAAGUCGCGUGAAGGACGACGGUCCUAUGGAUUGUAAACUUCUUUUGUCGGGGAGUAAAAUCGCCUACGUGUAGGCGACUGCAAGUACCCGAAGAAAAAGCAUCGGCUAACUCCGUGCCAGCAGCCGCGGUAAUACGGAGGAUGCGAGCGUUAUCCGGAUUUAUUGGGUUUAAAGGGUGCGUAGGCUGUAUAUCAAGUCAGUGGUGAAAUCACAAAGCUCAACUUUGUAACUGCCAUUGAAACUGAUAAACUUGAGUGCGGUAGAAGUGUGCGGAAUGCGUAGUGUAGCGGUGAAAUGCAUAGAUAUUACGCAGAACUCCGAUUGCGAAGGCAGCACACCGGGCCGCAACUGACGCUGAAGCACGAAAGCGUGGGUAUCGAACAGGAUUAGAUACCCUGGUAGUCCACGCAGUAAACGAUGAAUACUAACCGUCGGCGAUACACAGUCGGUGGCCAAGCGAAAGCGAUAAGUCAUCCACCUGGGGAGUACGACCGCAAGGUUGAAACUCAAAGGAAUUGACGGGGGCCCGCACAAGCGGAGGAACAUGUGGUUUAAUUCGAUGAUACGCGAGGAACCUUACCCGGGCUCGAACGGCAGGGGAAUGGAUCAGAGAUGGUUCAGUCUUCGGACUCCUGUCGAGGUGCUGCAUGGUUGUCGUCAGCUCGUGCUGUGAAGUGUCGGCUUAAGUGCCAUAACGAGCGCAACCCUCGCCGUCAGUUGCCAUCAGGUGAUGCUGGGGACUCUGGCGGGACUGCCACCGCAAGGUGUGAGGAAGGGGGGGAUGACGUCAAAUCAGCACGGCCCUUACGUCCGGGGCGACACACGUGUUACAAUGGUGGGUACAGAGGGAAGCUACCUGGCGACAGGAUGCAGAUCUCGAAAACCCAUCCCAGUUUGGAUUGGAGUCUGCAACCCGACUCCAUGAAGUUGGAUUCGCUAGUAAUCGCGCAUCAGCCAUGGCGCGGUGAAUACGUUCCCGGGCCUUGUACACACCGCCCGUCAAGCCAUGGAAGCCGGGAGUACCUGAAGUAUGCAACCGCAAGGAGCGUCCUAGGGUAAUACCGGUAACUGGGGCUAAGUCGUAACAAGGUAACCGU
rnacentral:rRNA from 1 species